rnacentral:ncRNA from 2 species
AUCGUUCAUCUCAUUUGUGAUUCAAGGCACAUUUCGCGAUCGCAAAUGAGACGGAAGUAGGGGCAUCCCCGAAGGAACGCGCC